UUCAACCGUUUCUGGGAACAGGUACUCUGAUCUCAGGUGUGUAGUCACUCCUGGUGACUGUCAGUUCCAGGAGGGCAGGAAUCAGAUGGGUCCUGCUCCUGACUGCUCCUAAGGUCCUUGCACCCAGGGGGCACAGGUGGCCUCAGGUGAUUCCCUCUUGGGUUGGGAAUGUGGGUAGAGGGUAGUCUCCUCUGAUUACUCAGUCAUGUCUGUACUCCUGAAGGUCCAGCUCUCCCCACAAAGGGAUUUGGGUGCAGAGAGAUGUUUGACUGGUUCAGUUCAGUUCAGUUCAGUUCUGGACACAGACCAGAACCAUAUUUACUGGUAGCUGACUCUUCCUAUAUUCCUGUGUCCAGAGACACUAUACAGUUUCUUUUUGGACCAGGGAUGUGGCCAGAAGUAGGCAGAAGUGGCGGUUUGUCCUGUGGUCUCAGGAUGUCUGCACUUCUGGGUGUUCAGCUCUCUUCCCUAUGGGAUUUGGGGAGUGGAGGUUUUAAUAAUUGCUUUUAUUUCCUUGGUUGUUAUAGGUUUAUUUAGAUUAUUUAUUAUGUUAUUUAAGUUUCAUAAGUAUUGUCUAUCAAGUAGAACAUUUAUUUCUUUUAUAUUUUCCAGUUGUGUGGAGUACAGACUUUUAAAGUAUGACCUAAUGAUUGUUUGCACUUCCACAUUCUCUGUUAUUAUGCCCUCUUUCUAAUUUUAUUAAUUUAGAUAUUCCUCUCUAUUUUUGUUUAGUCUGGAUAAGGGAUCAUGGUUAUUCUAUAUUUGAAUAACUACGUUUCAUUGACUUUUUGCAUUAGUAUGUCCCUUUUUAUUUUAUUGAUUUCAGCUCUAAUUUUGAUCAGUUUCUGCCAUCUACUCUUCUUCAGGAAGCUUGUUUUUUUGGGUGUGCUGUUAAAGUGCUCAUACGAGAUUUUUUUUUUAAUGUAUGUAAGGACUUAGUGCUAUGAAUUUUCUUGUAAGCACCACUUUCAUUGUGUCCCAAAUUUUGCAUCUGUUGUAUGCUCAUUUUGAUUUUCUGUCUCUGUUGAGGCAUGAUUACUCUUUGGCAAUCUUCAUUGGCAUUAUCAAUAGUCAAUUCUGUUAAUAACUCUUGAAUUUGUACCUCAUUUAGUUGCUUUUUGAUAGCAUCUUUUAGUCUUCCUAUGAAAUCAGUAUAAGACUCAGAAGAACCUUGUUUAAUUUUUAAACAAGUAGACUCGAAGUCAAAUUUUGAUUCAAAUUUCAUCCAAACAUCUAUAACUUCAACUCUAACGUAUGGAAGGGCAGAAACAGACAUCUUUUGCAACCGAUAAUUUGUUGAUACCCAUCUACUGGUCCCUAGCAGUGUUUCAUAUGUGACAUUUUGAAGAUUAUCUUUAGUACUUGUUAUUACAUUGUUACAUGGGCUUCAAAUCUCAGUCAUAUUUGGUACCGAAGAAAUUGGGAAGUGCUUAGAUUCACUUUAGCAAUUAUUCAAAAAGCAAGUGUCAAGCAUUGUGCAUUAUUGUCCCAAUAGUAAUGAUAUUAAUAACAUUAUGGUUUAGGAGGCCCAUAAAAAGGACAAUAUUUUAAAAUCUUUUAUUAUGUCCAUUUCUUUUUUAAUUUUAUUUUUCAUGGAUAUUUUAUGUAUUUACAUUUCAAAUGUUAUCCCUUUCCCCCCUUCCAUGCUCCCUCAUGCCUCCCCCUGCUUCUAUGAGGAUGCUCCCAUCAUACACAGGCUUAUUAUGUCUACUUCUGAGUCUGAUAAAUAUUUUUAUUUCAUUAAAAUUGCUCUGGAAAUACCUAGUUCAGCUCAGCAGACUUGGAAAAAAAAUCAGUUGAUAAAUUACUUUCUGCCUAUGCCCUAGCUGGCCUAGCUUAUAAAGUGUUUAGUAUAACACUCCUUACCCCAUGCUUGCAGACUAUUUUCAGGCAAUGCAGAACAUUCAUCUAAAGAAAACUCUAGUAAGGGAACUGAGGAAUUGGACACCUGUUAGAUGUGGAGCUGUUUCCAAGUUUUAUUUGCCUGCAUGGGGAUAUCUCCUUCUUUCCCUCUUUUAUUAAUUUUAAAGUUUUAUUACCCAGUUUAUAUUCAUGCAAGCAGUCACCUAUCUUUUCCUCAUGUUACUAACUUUCUUAUCUUCCUUAAAUAUUUUAAUAACAGUCCAAAUCAAUGCUCAAAUGACCCAUAAUUGAAUAGAAUCUUUCUCCCUUGUUGAUAACCCUUUCCAUUUAUUCUAUUAAAUUGUGUUCUAGGCUUCUUCAUUUAAAGUUCUUUCUUCUGGAAACAAAGGAUUAUAAUUAUAAAAACUUGACUGCACUAUAAAAGUUGUGAUUUUGUUAUUUGUGCUCUACCUUUCUUCAAGAAAUUAUGCAAAGCUUGACAUAAGGCAAAGCCUUCUCUGGUUUCUGUCCCACUAUUCUCGCUCAGCUCUUUCAGUAAGUGUUCCCACUCUCUUAUAUUGUAGCCGACAUCAGGUCCCUGAUUACUUGCUCCUCUUGUUACUAGUCUACUUAGUAGCAUGAAACUAAAUAUGAGAAGAGGCAGCCUAAAAUAAAACAGAUUAAUGUCUCAUGCAGUGACCAACUAUUCAAUAUACCAGACAAUUUAUCUUCUGAUGAAUAAGCAAGUAAUAUCAUAUGAGAAAAUUUAACAAGCUGUAUACAGUCAUAUGUUCAAGAUAACUUCACACGAAUUUAGGCUGUAUAGAGUCACAAGGAAAGUAUUUGGAAACACCAUCUGAAUUAUACUAAUAUGCUCAUGGGAAAUAUAAAGUAAAACUGCUCCUAUUUAUUGCAUGUCCAGAGACUUGAAAUCCUAUUCCAAGAAGAAACCCAUACUUUGGAAAGCUGAGAUCACAGGGCUCUUCUCUUGUUUUCUUGGAAUUUUCUCAUAAGCAAUCAGAAUUCUCCUCACAAAGCUUCUUUCUUGGACUUUGUUAUAACUAGUGCUCACUGAUAACUCUUAAAAUAAAUGGCUUCGAAUUAUCAUCAUAGAAAAAAGACAUAGAUUAUUAUAAUGAAAAUAAAACCAAGACUCAUUCUUCUAUGCAUCCAAGAAGCACACCUUACCUUCAGGAAUAUACAUAACCUCAAGAUAAAAGUACAGAAGAAGAUAUCUCAAACAAUGACCUAAGGAACAAGUUGAUGUAUCCAUUUUAAUAUUAACAAAUAGAUUUCAAACUAAAACUAAUCAGAUAUACACAGGGGAGCACACUAUAUACUCAUCAUAAAGAAAAGCUCAGCCCAGAAAGUAUUGAAAUUCUAGGUAUCUAUGAACCAAACAAAAUGGCACCCAAGUUCUUAAAAGAAAAGCUAUGACAGCUAAAAUUCUAUAUUAUUCCUCACAUAGUAAUGAAGAAAACAGAAGUAAUACAAAACUUAAUAUCAUGUAAACGUAACUACUCACUACUGAAUGAGGGAAUGAGGAGGGUAAUGGGGGAGUUAAGGAUCAGGUGUGGGAAGAGUCAGGAGAGAUAAUGAUAAUGAAUAAAAACUGACAGGGGUGUGGAUGUGGGUGGCACCUAGAACACAUGACAGAGACCUGGGGCAGAGGAUGCUCCAUAGAAUCAAUGGAGGUGACCCUAGCUGAGACUCAUAGUAGUGGAGAUAUGGAACUUUAAAAGGCUACUUCCUAUAGCCAGGCAGGGAUCCCAGUGGAGCAAUAGGGACACCAAGCUACCCACAAACUUUUGACUCAAAAUUUAUCCUGUCUACAACAAGAAAAUCAGGGAAAAAGAAUGGAACAGAGACUGAGCAAAUGGCCACCCCAUAAAUGUCCCAUCUUGAGGCCCAUCCCAUGGUCAAGCACCAAUCCUUUGUACUAUUCAUGAUAGUCUGUUAGGCUUGCAGACAUCAGUUAGCAUGGCUGUCCUCUGAGAGGCUCAACCCACCUGCUGACUCAUACAAACAGUGGAUGGAACUUGGCAACUCUUACUGAAGAGCUGAGGGUAGGAUUUGGGGCCCAAAGGAGAUAGAAACUCCUUAGGAAGAAUUUAAUAGUCAACUAACUUGGACUCUUUGGGGCCUUCAGAGACUGGACCACCAAAGAAAGAGUGUACACAGGGUAGAUCUAGCUCCCCACCCCAUGCACAGAUGUAGCAGGUGCACUGCUUUGUCUUCAUUGAAGGUUUCAAACAAAUGGAGUUUGGGCUAUCCCAAAAGCUGUUACAUGUUUGUGGGAUAUAGCCUUCUAGCUGGGCUGCCUCAUCUGGCCUCACUGGGAGUUGUUUCACUUAGCCUUGCAGAGACUUGAUGUGCCAGGGAGGCAGGAUACACAGAGGGGUCACCACCUUCUCAGAUGACAAGAGCAGGGGAAGGGGAGAGGGAUUGUUAGAGGAGGUACCUGUGAGGGGGUCAGUGAUCAGGAUGUAAAGUGAAUACAUAAAAAUAAAAUGAAAAAAGUAUUAAAAUAGUUUACCUCACUCUCAAACGGAAGAACUUUACAAUUUCACAGAAAUGAUUAGGAUUCACAUUAUUAACUACUUGUAUGUUCUUGUGAUAAUGAGCAAUUUAUAGAAAACAUGGUGGUUUGAGGUUUAAUAUUCAAAUAGAUUCUGGACAUUUUUGUGCAGAACAAAGUUAGUCACAUUGUAUCCACAGUCAGGAAAAAGCAAACAGAUGCUUGUGUUCAGUCAGCAUUCUUCUAUUUAUGAAGUUAGACACUGAAGCCUAUUGAAAGUCAGAUCUAUCCAAGACCUUCUCCAAAGCUCUGAAGAAAAGACAAAAUGAACGCUAAUUUUGUGUCUUUCUUAUGAGAAGACUUGGCUAGUCUGGGGCUGGAGCCAGUGCUUACAAGGAGUCAAGGUUGCAGUUUCUGAAGAUGUAAAACCUUUCAAAGUAUCAAGGUGUGUUUAUCAGUUCAAAGGCUACUGAGUUCUUGAUCUGUAAAGGUCUUGAGACAUCCUAUGUUAUCACUGUGAAACAUUGUUUAAUUAGCUCCUGUUAACAUAGUCCCAUUUUAUGAUAGUUUCUGCUAAAAUUGGACCAUUUCUUUCUUGAAGGUGGUAUAUGAAAUGCUGUACUUCAUAAUAUGCUUACUUGGCACAAGAACUAGUUUGACAGAAACCAGCUGCUUUUGGAGAAUAAAGCACAAUGAAGAUGAUGAUGGAGAUUUACAGGCUGACUGUGCUUUUUACCUUUUUACGCUUCCGUCACCUUUGGAAGAAGGUUUUUGUAAAACUGUCCUGGAUUUUAGCCUCUAAGAGGGUGCUCCCCCACACGUGGAAGCUGAACAACUCUCUACUCAAUGGUGAUUUGGUGAGGGAAGAAAUAAGUUUACAUCCCAGUCGAUGUGGUCUCCUGGUCACCCCUCCCACAAUUCCUCCUACAUUACCCUUUCCUUUCUUGUCUGAGAGAGUGUAGGACCCUCCUGGAUAUAGCUCCACCACAGCAUAAAACGUCUCUGCACAGCUAGGUCCAUCUUCUACUGAGGCCAGACAAGAUACAACAGCUUGAAGAGUGUAUUGCAGAGACAGGCAACAACUUUAGGGAUAGCACUCUGUCCAUUUGUUUGGGAUGCUCAUGCUUUCUAAGCUGCACAUCUGUCAAAAAUGUGCAGAGGGCCUAUGUCCAGCCACUGUGUGUUAUUUGGUUCAGUCUCUGAGAGCCCCCAAAGGUUCAGGUUAGUUGACUCUGUUGGUCUUCCUGUGGAGUUCCUAUCCCCCUCAUGGCCCUCAGUCAAACACAGAAUAAUAUACCUUUUUUAAGCACCUCAGGGAUACUUCUCCAAAAUUGAGUACACAGUUAGUCACAGAGCAAGCUUCAACAGAUAAAAAAAAACAACAAAACAAAACAAAACAAAAACCCCCAAAAACCUGAAAUAACGCCUUGCAUCUUAUCAGAAGUCCAUGCAUUAAAGCUCAGCUUCAACAACAGGAACACCAGAAAGCCUCACCUCACACAUUCAUGGAAAAUAAAAAACUCUUUACUCCGUGAUCUCAGGAUCAGGGAAGGAAUAAAGAAAGAAAUUAAAGACUUUUUAAAAUUCAAUGAAAAUGAUGGCACUAUACACCUAAUUUAUGGGACACAAUGAAAGCAGUGCUAAGAAGAAAGUUCAUAGCACUAAAUGCUUCCAUAGAGAAAUUAGAGAACUUUUAUACUAUCAAUUUCAAAGUAUACCUAGAAACUCUAGAAAAAAAAGAGAAGUUAACAUAUAGAAAAGGAAUGGAAAACAGAAAAUAAUCAAAAUCUGGGCUGAAUUCAAUUAGAAACAAAGAUCUGAAAACAAAGAAUCAAGGAAACAAAGAGCAGGUUCUUUGAGAAAUCAACAAGAGAGAGAGAGAGAGAGAGAGAGAGAGAGAGAAUUAGUCAACCUAACCAAAAGACAGUAUCCAAAUAAACAAAAUCAAAAAAGAAAAUAAAAAUAGAGACACAACAGGAAAACAAGGAAAUUCAAAGAACAAGUAGGUCUCACAAAAUGUGUAGGUCAACAAAAUUUGAAAAUCUUUUUAAAAAAUUGAUGAUUUUUCUAGACAGAUACCACUUGUCAAAGUUAAGUCAUGAUCAAGUAUACUAUUUACACAGCACUAUAACCCCUAAGAAGAUAGAAACAGUCAUUAAAAGUCUCCCAGUGAAAAAGCCCAGAGUCAGAUGGUUUUAGUGCAGAAUUUUACUAGACUUUCAAAGAAGAGCUAAUGCCAAUACUCCUCAAAAUAGAAAGAGAAGGAACACUGCCAAACUCAUUCUAUGAAGCUACAAGCAUCCUAAUACCCACACCACACAAAGACUCAGCAAAGAAAGAAUUUCAGUCCAAUUUCUUUUAUGAAUUUUGACAAAAAAACUAUUCAAUAAAAUACUGGCAAACUGAAUACAGAAACACAUCAUAAAUAUCAUGGACCAUGAUCAAGAAGACUUCAUCCUGUGGAUGAGGGAUGGCUCAAUAUAUGCAAGUCCAUCAAAAUAAUCUGUCAUACAUACAAACUGAAAAAUCACAUGAUCAUCUCAUUAGAUGCUCAAAAUCUAAAGACAAUAUCCAACACCCCAUCGUGUUAGAAGUUUAGAGAUCAGGGAUACAGGUUCUAUAUCUAAAUAUAAUAAAAGCAAUAUAAAGUAGGAAAAAUCAUCAAAUUAAAUGUGUCCCUGAGGUUUUAUAUGAAUAACAUGGCAUAAAUGUAUAUUGAUCUUUGCUUUAUUCAAUAUAUUUUCAAUUGUAAUAAUUUCCUUCAUAAAGGCAAUAUAUUUGUUAAGAUGUAUUUCUUUUGCUUUAUUAAUUUUGUUGCUAUUACAAAUACCUUUCUGAAUGGUAUUCUCAUAGUGUAGCUGCCCGAUGACUAUAGAAUAAUUUUUCAUAUGAAAGAGGAAUUAUUGCAUUAUCUACCUAUUCUAGUUCAUAAUAUGAAUAAAAAUGAAUUAAAAUCA